AGUGAACGCUGGCGGCAGGCCUAACACAUGCAGGUCGAGCGGCAGCGGGUUCCCGCGAGGGGAUGCCGGCGAGCGGCGGACGGGUGAGGAACACAUCGGAAUCUGCCUGGUUGUGGGGGAUAACGUAGGGAAACUUACGCUAAUACCGCAUGAGACCCUGAGUCGACGGACUGGGGGUGAAAGUGAGGGACCUUCGGGCCUCACGCGACCAGAUGAGCCGAUGUCGGAUAGCUAGUUGGCGGGGUAACGGCCCGCCAAGGCGACGAUCCGUAGCUGGUCUGAGAGGAUGAUCAGCCACACUGGGACUGAGACACGGCCCA
rnacentral:rRNA from 1 species